rnacentral:rRNA from 1 species
CGUAGGGUCCAAGCGUUAUCCGGAAUUACUGGGCGUAAAGCGUACGCAGACGGUACGUUAGGUGUGAUGCGAAAUCUUGUGGCUCAACCACAUAGACUGUGUCCCAAACCAUCGAACUAGAGGUUGGUAGAGGCAAGCGGAAUUCCCGGUGUAGCAGUGACAUGCGUAGAUAUCGGGAGGAACACCAAUGGCGAAGGCAGCUUGCUGGGCUACACCUGACGUUAAGGUACGAAAGCGUGGGGAGCGAACAGGAUUAGAUACCCUGGUAGUCCACGCCGUAAACGAUGAUCACUAUUGGUAUGGAGAUUCGACCCUCUGUGUCAAGUAGCUAACGCGAUAAGUGAUCCGCCUGGGGAGUACGAGCGCAAGCUUA